AACCCAGACUCCUACGGGAGGCAGCAGUGGGGAAUAUUGCACAAUGGGGGAAACCCUGAUGCAGCGACGCCGCGUGAGUGAAGAAGUAAUUCGUUAUGUAAAGCUCUAUCAGCAGGGAAGAAAAUGACGGUACCUGAGUAAGAAGCCCCGGCUAACUACGUGCCAGCAGCCGCGGUAAUACGUAGGGGGCAAGCGUUAUCCGGAUUUACUGGGUGUAAAGGGAGCGUAGACGGCGGCGCAAGUCUGGAGUGAAAGCCCGGGGCCCAACCCCGGGACUGCUCUGGAAACUGCGGCGCUGGAGUACGGGAGGGGCAGGCGGAAUUCCUGGUGUAGCGGUGAAAUGCGUAGAUAUCAGGAGGAACACCGGCGGCGAAGGCGGCCUGCUGGACCGUGACUGACGUUGAGGCUCGAGAGCGUGGGGAGCAAACAGGAUUAGAUACCCGUGUA
rnacentral:rRNA from 1 species